rnacentral:rRNA from 1 species
UACGGGGGGAGCAAGCGUUGUUCGGAUUUACUGGGCGUAAAGGGCGCGUAGGCGGCCUGCUAAGUCGAACGUGAAAUCCCCGGGCUCAACCCGGGAACUGCGUCCGAUACUGGCAGGCUUGAAUCCGGGAGAGGGAUGUGGAAUUCCAGGUGUAGCGGUGAAAUGCGUAGAUAUCUGGAGGAACACCGGUGGCGAAGGCGGCAUCCUGGACCAACACUGACGCUGAGUGAGCGAAAGCCAGGGGAGCAAACGGG